rnacentral:rRNA from 1 species
UACUAGAGUAGCACUCGCAUAUCAAUAAGCGGAGGAAAAGAAACUAACAAGGAUUCCCCUAGUAACGGCGAGUGAAGCGGGAAGAGCUCAAAUUUGAAAUCUUAAAGGGUUUCCCUUUACGAAUUGUAGUUUAAAGAAGUGUUCUCUGUUGAGGUUUUGGUAAAAGUUCUUGGAAUAGGACAUCAUAGAGGGUGAGAAUCCCGUAUUUGACCUUUACUUUCAACUUUGUGAUACACUUUCAAAGAGUCGGAUUGUUUGGGAAUGCAGUCCAAAAUGGGUGGUAAAUUUCAUCUAAAGCUAAAUAUUGGCGAGAGACCGAUAGCGAACAAGUACCGUGAGGAAAGAUGAAAAGAACUUUGAAAAGAGAGUUAAACAGUACGUGAAAUUGUCAAAAGGGAAGCGUUUGACACCAGUGUUGUUUUUCUGAAAAUCAAUUAAAGAACUGUUUAUGCUAAGUUGUUUAGACUUUAUCAGCUAUCUGUUUAGUUUUGAGCUUUUCUUUAAUGCACUUUUCAGUUAACAAGUCAACAUCAAUUUCUUUUGCUGUAAAAAAGCUUGAGGAAGGUGGCUUGAGAUUCGUCUUAAGUGUUUAUAGCCUCUUGCCUAUGUCAGUCGGAGAGAUUGAGGUCUGCAGCGUAGAUCCUUCGGGGCUAAAUGCAUUUGUGCUAAGUUAUAGCAUUUUAUAGACAACUUGUUGACUAUGAUUUGUCUUGUAGCUUACUCGCUUAUGUUAUUUUACCUACGCUUAGGAUGUUGAACUACUGAGACAUAGA